GAUGAAGAACGUAGUGAAAUGCGAUACGUAAUGUGAAUUGCAAAUUCAGUGAAUCAUCGAGUCUUUGAACGCACAUUGCGCCCCCUGGUAUUCCGGGGGGCAUGCCUGUCCGAGCGUCAUUGCUGCCCUCAAGCACGGCUUGUGUGUUGGGCCCCGUCUUCCGAUCCCGGGGGACGGGCCCGAAAGGCAGCGGCGGCACCGCGUCCGGUCCUCGAGCGUAUGGGGCUUUGUCACCCGCUCUGUAGGCCCGGCCGGCGCUUGCCGAUCAACCCAAAUUUUUAUCCAGGUUGACCUCGGAUCAGGUAGGGAUACCCGCUGAACUUAAGCAUAUCAAUAAGCGGAGGA
rnacentral:misc_RNA from 1 species